GAUGAACGCUGGCGGCGUGCCUAAUACAUGCAAGUCGAGCGAAUGGAUUAAGAGCUUGCUCUUAUGAAGUUAGCGGCGGACGGGUGAGUAACACGUGGGUAACCUGCCCAUAAGACUGGGAUAACUCCGGGAGACCGGGGCUAAUACCGGAUAACAUUUUGAACCGCAUGGUUCGAAAUUGAAAGGCGGCUUCGGCUGUCACUUAUGGAUGGACCCGCGUCGCAUUAGCUAGUUGGGGAGGUAACGGCUCACCAAGGCAACGAUGCGUAGCCGACCUGAGAGGGUGAUCGGCCACACUGGGACUGAGACACGGCCCAGACUCCUACGGGAGGCAGCAGUAGGGAAUCUUCCGCAAUGGACGAAAGUCUGACGGAGCAACGCCGCGUGAGUGAUGAAGGCUUUCGGGUCGUAAAACUCUGUUGUUAGGGAAGAACAAGUGCUAGUUGAAUAAGCUGACACCUUGACGGUACCUAACCAGAAAGCCACGGCUAACUACGUGCCAGCCGCCGCAGUAA
rnacentral:rRNA from 1 species